GACGAACGCUGGUGGCGUGCUUAACACAUGCAAGUCGAACGGUGAAGCGCCUUCCUUUUUGGUGGGUGUGGAUGAGUGGCGAACGGGUGAGUAACACGUGAGUAACCUGCCCCCUUCUUCUGGAUAACCGCAUGAAAGUGUGGCUAAUACGGGAUAUUCUGGGUCUGUCGCAUGAUGGGUCUGGGAAAGAUAUUGUUUCGGUGGGGGAUGGGCUCGCGGCCUAUCAGCUUGUUGGUGGGGUGAUGGCCUACCAAGGCGGUGACGGGUAGCCGGCCUGAGAGGGUGGACGGUCACACUGGGACUGAGGCACGGCCCAGACUCCUACGGGAGGCAGCAGGGGGGAAUAGUGCACAAUGGGCGCAAGCCUGAUGCAGCGACGCCGCGUGAGGGAUGGAGGCCUUCGGGUUGUGAACCUCUUUCGCCAGUGAAGCAGGCCUGCCUCGUUUGUGGGUGGGUUGACGGUAGCUGGAUAAGAAGCGCCGGCUAACUACGUG
rnacentral:rRNA from 1 species